AAUGGUCCAACAAUGAUCACAUACUCUCAUCUAGGAUGGGUGGGAAUUCAGGUCUGCAUACAUUAUACAUGCGUUCCAAUUUGUACACAUUUUUGAUAUAAGGUGUGUACUCAAUUCCUACAUUCGCACAUGCAGCAAUUACAUGUGCGCAUGGGAACUGAAGUGUCUGGAAUCUCUCACAAUGACAAGUCCGUUCUGAUAGGUCAAUACGAUACGAUGCCCCUG
rnacentral:lncRNA from 1 species